rnacentral:rRNA from 1 species
AUGAAACUAGGUUUCAACAAUCACUGGAUUUCAGUGGUCAUCUGCAUGGUCAAGUCAGUAUCCUUCUUAGUUCUUUUUAUGGCCAGAGGCUCAAGGAGUUCAUACCAUCGAGAGGUAUUCGAUAGGGAGAUCCCAUCUCCCCCUAUCUCUUUUUUGGUAGCGGAGGGCCUUUCUGACCUAUUAAAAUCUAACCAGUCAUUGCAUCUAAGCGGGAUUAAGGUGGCUUCUCAAGCUCCGCCGGUGAAUCAUAUCUUGUUUUCUUAUGACAGCAUAUUGUUCUUCAAAGUGAGUGUGGAGGGGGCGGUUGAGUUGUCAAACCUAUUGGAUACUUAUUGUCAGGUUUCAGGUCAACGGGUUAACAGAGAUAAGCAUCCAUCUUUUUCAGCAUAG